AUAACCUACAACAAACAACCACUGUCAUAUGAUCCGACUACAGCCUCACCAUCUUUCAAACACUGCAGAGCAACAUCUCCUGUCCAUUAGGCUACUCCCUGGACUACAGCCCAUCUGUUUGGAGUACCAGAGGACUCACCAUGUGGCUAAAAGGUUUUAUAAGUAACCAUGUCAACAUGAAACUUCUGAAGACCUGUGUCAUCGUUCUCCUUCUGACUGUGUUGUUCUUUACACGAAGAAACAUGGACCUGCUGCAGUACCAGAGGAGGACUCACCAUGUGCCUAAAAGGAUUUGAGUAACCAUGUCAACAUGACACUUCUGAAGACCUGUGUCAUCCUUCUCCUUCUGACUGUGUUGUUCUUUGUACUAAGAAACAUGGACCUGCUGCAGGUGAGAACUGGGAUUAGUGGCAACACUUUGAAGAUGGACUGAUGAUUACAGGGGAUUAUUUUCAACAGUGUCUUUCAAUGUACUCUUCACAACAUUCAUGGUUUUUAUUUGCAAAUAAACACAAUUUCAAGGUUAUGUUGCUUAAAACAUUUUGCUCAGUGAUUCUCUGAAUCACUGGAGGGUGGGGUAAUGGGGUGAAAAGCUGUGAAUGCAUUAAUGACAUACACACAUACUUGAUGCCAUCCCUGCAUAAUUUGCACCUUGGGCCACCUGUCACAAAAAGUCUGAACACGACCUUGCUUACAAAAGACAUCAACUUCAAGAAACGGAAAAAGAAUCACAGAUUUUUACUUUAUUGAGCAGUUAAAAGGUCAAAAGUAAGGUCAGUUAUAAAAGGUCUAUAAUGCUCUGUAGAACAAAAAAGCAAACAUUAGUCACCCCUGUCCACUUUUUGGACCCAUUUAAACCCACUAUAAUAAUUAUUUUUGAACUUAUGGCCAUAGUAGCAUAGAAACGUAAGUUUUGUUGUUAUAGGCAAUCAAUCUGUAGACCAUACUUCAAAUUUGUAGAUUUUACCAUUUUUUUUAUCACAUUUUUCAAUUUUAGCCCAACAGCACAAAUACAUGCAUUUUUUCUAGUAACCACAAGGAACAGUGUUGAAGCUCAUACGGCCCAUUAUUUCUUGUUCAAAGUUAUCCUAUAUUAUUUGUUUGGGAAUUAGAUGGGGGGGAAAGACUUUAUAGGAUCAUAAUAAUGACUAACAUAUUGGUGAUCAUAUCGAAACAACAAUGGUCUUUUUACAUACCUUGAAGUCACUUUGAUUAGAAAUUGAUAAAAAGCAUGUAAUCAUUUUUAGCUGUUUAAUUUCUGUGUCCAAUUUUUGGACAUUGGGUGCUAUGUGUAACAUUUAUUUUAGGGGCGCCUGAGUUAAAGAAUUAUCUGAGCACAGUUCUUGUUGUUGUUUUUUUAAACAACAACAAAAUAUGAUCAUAUCAAUAGCUUUA